GUCCUUUUCAAGGUGUCCUGUGACAAAUACCCUUGGAAGCUGACACAGCAAAGCCAGCGGUGAGCGCCUGGCCUCAGGAGGUGCCAGGUUUCAGCUGUGGUGCAAGCAGGAGAGGGUGAGGAACACCUCGCAGUUUUGGGCCGCAGGGAAGGUCGCCCUGUUGGUGUCCCCCCACUCCCGCCCCAGGGGCAGGCUCAGCUAGCAGCCUCUGGCAGCGCGCACGGGCCAUGCCUCCCUCUGGUGUGCGCCGUGUUUAUCUUCCAAGCCAUAGGGAGACUGGCUGUCCGCCUAACUGAGCAGAGAUCAGAAAGAAUCCGGCCCCUGUGUGGUUAAAUAAAGACAGGCCCCUCCCCGCGUCCCAAGGCCUCUCCUACACCCGCUCUGCUUAUCUGCCCGUUUUAAUCCCAGCUGCACCCUCUGACCAGCCGAAGCCCAGGCCCUGGGAGACUUAUCCAGAGGGCUGGAAUUCGCCCAGGCACCCCUCUAGCUGGCCACUUGCGGACUCGAUUAUGCGCCUGACACUUCAACAGCCGAAGGGGGAGGCUGGGGGCUCACAGUCUCCAGCGCAGGCCCCCGGGUGCGGCAGUCAAGGGGAGGCCGACCAGCUCCCCCUUGAUCUAACAGCCUGCUGCCUUUGCUGCCUGCGUCACCGUCCAGGGCCAUGUGUGGUGCUGAACUCAUGUUCUUCCAGACCCGGAACUCAGGUUCUUCCUCCAGACUGGAGCAACGGCUGUCAGCUCUGUCCCUGCUCGCUCAGCAUGACGAUCUCACGCAAUGGAAGGAACUCAGAAGAGGUUCCAGGUCCGGCACCCAGCAGCCACAAGCCUGGCGACACUGGCAAAGUGCUAACUCUCCCGUGGACUCAGUUUCCUCAUCUGUAAAGUGGGAAGUUAUCAUCCUUCUAGUUACAGAGCCAAUUGGUAGGACAACACCUGAGGCUGCUUCCCUUAGCAGUUACUUUGAAAGCUGCCUAUUACUAGUAGUUUUGUGAAUCACACUUUUCACCAUAAAUGUAAUUUAUUUCACUUGAAAUUUGAUUUUUGCAUUAUUCUGGGCAACAUGGUAUCCCUAUCAUGGGAAGCUUAAAUUAAAUGAAAAAUGAAAAACACUGAUGUCUUAAUAUUACUCUUCCCACUAAAAUGAGAAAUUAUCUCCUCAUUCAGAUUUUGAAUACAAAUGCUAGUCUAGCUUUUAAGUAGCACACACGUUGAUUUUCCUGCCUGGCCUUUGAGAAUAUUCACUAUAAAAUAAGGCUCUCUGUGAAGAGGUCUCCCCAAGUAAUAACCCUACAAUUUCCCUUCUUCUUGACAAUCCCAAAGAACCCUCAGCAUUCGUGCACACUUAUUCUAGAGGAAUAUGCCCUAUUUUGAUACAUGUUCCUCUGACCACGCCUGCAAAGAUAACAGUACUGAUUUUUCAAGCGAGCAAGAAGGGAAACUUACUUCCAUGAAUCUCAGGCUAAUGACUGCUCUCUCCUGACCAAGCCAACCUCUCAAAAUCUAACCCCACAGAUUCUUCUUUCAGCCAGUGUGUGCUUUACCAUAAAAGCCAGAAACCUUUCUGCUUCCUGUACUGCAGAAAGGGAUGCCAAUAUUUUCUUUAUUUUACCUCAAGUCAUCUUGUAAAUCCAUGGCAAAUUAGGUACGGAGAGUUAAAAAAGAAAUAAAAACCCGGGAA
ensembl:lincRNA